AUUGAACGCUGGCGGCAGGCCUAACACAUGCAAGUCGAGCGGAUGAAGGGAGCUUGCUCCUGGAUUCAGCGGCGGACGGGUGAGUAAUGCCUAGGAAUCUGCCUGGUAGUGGGGGAUAACGUCCGGAAACGGGCGCUAAUACCGCAUACGUCCUGAGGGAGAAAGUGGGGGAUCUUCGGACCUCACGCUGUCAGAUGAGCCUAGGUCGGAUUAGCUAGUUGGUGGGGUAAAGGCCUACCAAGGCGACGAUCCGUAACUGGUCUGAGAGGAUGAUCAGUCACACUGGAACUGAGACACGGUCCAGACUCCUACGGGAGGCAGCAGUGGGGAAUAUUGGGCAAUGGGCGAAAGCCUGAUCCAGCCAUGCCGCGUGUGUGAAGAAGGUCUUCGGAUUGUAAAGCACUUUAAGUUGGGAGGAAGGGCAGUAAGUUAAUACCUUGCUGUUUUGACGUUACCAACAGAAUAAGCACCGGCUAACUUCGUG
rnacentral:rRNA from 1 species